UGUUUUAAGGACACUGAGGGAUCCUUUGUUCUGGAUCCCUCAGUGUCCUUAAAACA
ensembl:miRNA MIR7856 microRNA 7856